UCCGCCCUGUUGUGAAGUGGGUGUCUCGGUGGAGCCUUGGGGAGCAGUCCCUUUUCUAGGAGCCUCUUGAAGGACUCACCGUAGAUGCAGGAAGACAUUGGAUGAGGUCAGCGUAGCUGAAGUGAGGUGUCUGGGGUAGACAAUGGCUAUGGCCCUGGAAUUGCAAGCCCAGGCAUCUCCGCAGCCAGAGCCUGAAGAACUCCUGAUUGUGAAACUGGAAGAGGACUCUUGGGGAUCAGAAUCCAAACUCUGGGAGAAGGACCGUGACUCUGUCUCUGGCCCAGAGGCCUCCCGCCAGCGCUUCAGGCAAUUCCAAUACAGGGAUGCAGCUGGACCCCACGAGGCCUUCAGCCAGCUCUGGGCUCUCUGCUGUCGUUGGCUGAGGCCGGAGAUCCGUCUCAAAGAGCAGAUCCUGGAGCUGCUCGUGCUGGAGCAGUUCCUGACUAUCUUGCCUAGGGAGGUCCAGACCUGGGUGCAGGCACGCCACCCUGAGAGUGGUGAGGAGGCUGUGGCCUUGGUGGAGGAUUGGCACCGAGAGACCAGGACUGCAGGACAGUCGGGACUGGAAUUGUAUACAGAAGAGACCAGGCCCUUAAAGACAGGGGAAGAAGCUCAGAGCUUCCAGCUGCAGCCAGUGGAUCCCUGGCCUGAGGGACAGUCCCAGAAGAAGGGGGUGAAGAAUACAUGCCCUGACCUUCCCAAUCACCUAAAUGCCAAGGUGGCACCACAGCCUUUGAAAGAGAGUGCUGUCCUCACUCCCCGAGUCCCUACUCUCCCAAAGAUGGGGAGCGUUGGAGAUUGGGAGGUGACAGCUGAGUCCCAGGUAAGCUGUUACUCGUUCUUCCUUUCCUGUCAUUGCUGCUCCUGUGCUCUUGCC
rnacentral:sRNA from 1 species